rnacentral:rRNA from 1 species
AGUUGAGGUAGCUGGAAUGAGUAGUGUAGCGGUGAAAUGCAUAGAUAUUACUCAGAACACCGAUUGCGAAGGCAGGUUACCAAGUUAUAACUGACGCUGAGGGACGAAAGCGUGGGGAGCGAACAGGAUUAGAUACCCUGGUAGUCCACGCCGUAAACGAUGCUAACUCGUUUUUGGGCUUUAGGGUUCAGAGACUAAGCGAAAGUGAUAAGUUAGCCACCUGGGGAGUACGACCGCAAGGUUGAAACUCAAAGGAAUUGACGGGGGCCCGCACAAGCGGUGGAUCAUGUGGUUUAAUUCGAUGAUACGCGAGGAACCUUACCAAGGCUUAAAUGGGAAUUGACAGCUGUAGAAAUACGGUUUUCUUCGGACAAUUUUCAAGGUGCUGCAUGGUUGUCGUCAGCUCGUGCCGUGAGGUGUUAGGUUAAGUCCUGCAACGAGCGCAACCCCUGUCACUAGUUGCCAUCAUUAAGUUGGGGACUCUAGUGAGACUGCCUACGCAAGUAGAGAGGAAGGUGGGGAUGACGUCAAAUCAUCACGGCCCUUACGCCUUGGGCCACACACGUGAUACA